GGACAAAAAAAAAUCUAUAAUUUGAAGUUUAUAGACUUUGUCUUAUAAUUUAUAGACUAGGUUAUAGACUUUGUCUUAUAAUUUAUUAUGCGACAAUGUAAUCUUUUAUUCUAAAAUACCAAAGGAAAUCCAAAUCAGCUCUUGCUUACAAUUGCUUUUAAAUUGAAAGUGUUGGAAAUUACCUAGAAUUUGUGGUGAAUUAAAAUGUAUCAAUCAAGUCAUAUGUAUCAAUCAAGCCAAAUGUAUCAAUCACGGUCAACUUAAAAUUUAAGAUAAAGAUUUGAACAUAGACAAUCUAAUCAAAUAUUUUAUGAUGCAAGAAAUUGUUGCAGAUUUUUUAAUCGCUACAAAGGGGCAUUCAUAAAAACUAAAGACAUCACAGAGAAAUAUUAACUGACAAAAAACUUGUAAUGUCGUGCAAAUAUCGGCCCGAUGCCUACGUUUUAUCUGAUUUAAUUCAAUUUAGGUAUAAGAGGUAUUAUUUCAGGAAUAUUUGUUAGAUAAUAAUAAACUAUGUUUAUUUGGAUAUUUAAGAUACUUUUGAUUGUUAACGUAAAACGAAUGAAUAUUGGAUUUGAGUUUAUGAGCAACAUUUGUAAAAAAAUAUUAAAUUCAGAGCUUAGAGUUAAUUAAGAGAUUAGAGUUGAGUCAGUUAUAUAAAUUUUUAUUUUUUUGGAAACAGUUGAAGGAUGGUUUAAUAAAAUUUUUGAAACUAGUUAGAAUGUUAAUGUCUUUCCAAAGUUUGCGAAGAUUUUUUAAAUUUUUUGAUAAAUAUUUUUUUAAUGGAUUUUUUUAAUAAGUUUAUAUAAUGUAAUGAUUAUAUAUUUAUUCUUAAACUUUCAAACUUGUUUUCAUUUAUACGAUUUUUAGAUUAAAACUUAGAUGUUAAUAUUAACAUUUUUUUUUGGAAAAGAUUGUGCACUUAAAUAGAUGUUAUAAUGCCUUUUGUAAUCCAUCGUUAGAAUUGACGAUUAAAGUUUUUUGAUACUUGGACCUUUUAACAUCAUAUCAGUCAAUUUUUGAUGAAUCAGAUUUAAAGUUUUCUUUAUUGAAGUUUUUAAAACUCCCGCUAUGUAAAUUGUGUCUGUGUGGUAUAAAUAAUUUAUUGAAAUUUGACAAAUGCAAAGUGAUCAGAAACAGAAGUUGUCAAAUUUCAUCAGUUAUUAAGUUAGAGAAAAUAAAAACCUAAUAACUGAUGAAAUAGUUUCAUCAGUUAUUAAGUAAGAGAAAAUAUUAUCAAUAAUUGUAGCAAAGUGAUCAGUCUAGUUGACAAAGUGAUAAAAGGACCA